AGUGAACGCUGGCGGUAGGCCUAACACAUGCAAGUCGAACGGCAGCACAGUAAGAGCUUGCUCUUACGGGUGGCGAGUGGCGGACGGGUGAGGAAUACAUCGGAAUCUACUUUUUCGUGGGGGAUAACGUAGGGAAACUUACGCUAAUACCGCAUACGACCUACGGGUGAAAGCAGGGGAUCUUCGGACCUUGCGCGAUUGAAUGAGCCGAUGUCGGAUUAGCUAGUUGGCGGGGUAAAGGCCCACCAAGGCGACGAUCCGUAGCUGGUCUGAGAGGAUGAUCGGCCAACUUGAACUUAAGAACGGGCCCGAACCCUUCGGGAGGGAGGAGUUGGGAAUUUUGGACAAAGGGCGCAAGCCUGAUCCAGCCAUACCGCGUGGGUGAAGAAGGCCUUCGGGUUGUAAAGCCCUUUUGUUGGGAAAGAAAAGCAGCAGGUUAAUACCCCGCUGUUCUGACGGUACCCAAAGAAUAAGCACCGGCUAACUUCGUG
rnacentral:rRNA from 1 species